rnacentral:rRNA from 1 species
AGUGAACGCUGGCGGUAGGCCUAACACAUGCAAGUCGAACGGCAGCACAGCAGUAGCAAUACUGUGGGUGGCGAGUGGCGGACGGGUGAGGAAUACAUCGGAAUCUACCUUUUCGUGGGGGAUAACGUAGGGAAACUUACGCUAAUACCGCAUAAGACCUUCGGGUGAAAGUGGGGACCUUCGGGCCUCACGCGGAUAGA